rnacentral:rRNA from 1 species
GCCCUUAGAGUUUGAUCAUGGCUCAGAACGAACGCUGGCGGCAGGCCUAACACAUGCAAGUCGAGCGCGCCUUUCGGGGCGAGCGGCGGACGGGUGAGUAACGCGUGGGAACGUGCCCUUCGGUGCGGAAUAUACCAGGGAAACUUGGGGCAAUACCGCAUACGGUCUACGGACGAAAGAUUUAUCGCCGAGGGAUCGGCCCGCGUUGGAUUAGGUAGUUGGUGGGGUAAUGGCCUACCAAGCCGACGAUCCAUAGCUGGUUUGAGAGGAUGAUCAGCCACACUGGGACUGAGACACGGCCCAGACUCCUACGGGAGGCAGCAGUGAGGAAUCUUGGACAAUGGGGGAAACCCUGAUCCAGCCAUGCCGCGUGAGCGAUGAAGGCCUUAGGGUUGUAAAGCUCUUUCGCUGGGGAAGAUAAUGACGGUACCCAGUAAAGAAGCCCCGGCUAACUCCGUGCCAGCAGCCGCGGUAAUACGGAGGGGGCUAGCGUUGUUCGGAAUUACUGGGCGUAAAGCGCGCGUAGGCGGACUGGAAAGUUG